CCUACGUGUGGCAGCAGUGAGGCAUAUUGGUCAAUGGGCGAGAGCCUGAACCAGCCAAGUCGCGUGAGGGAGUACUGCCCUAUGGGUUGUAAACCUCUUUUGUCGGGGAGCAAAAGGCGGACGUGUACGGAUGUGGGAGUACACGAAGAAAAAGAAUAAGGUUAAAUCGUGCCAGGAGCCGAGGUUAUACGGAGGAUGAGAGAGUUCACCGGAUUUUGUGGGUUUAAAGGGUGCGCAGGCGGAUUUUUAAGUCAGCGGUCAAAUCGUGGGGCUCAACCCCAUCCAGCCGUUGAACCUGGGGAUCUAGAGUGUGCGAGAGGUAUGCGGAAUGCGUGGUGUAGCGGUGAAAUGCAUAGAUAUCACGCAGAACCCCGAUCGCGAAGGCAGCAUACCGGUGCACAACUGACGCUCAGGCACGAAAGCGUGGGUAUCGAACAGGAUUAGAUACCCCUGUAGUC
rnacentral:rRNA from 1 species